UACGUAGGGCGCAAGCGUUGUCCGGAAUUAUUGGGCGUAAAGAGCUCGUAGGCGGCUUGUCACGUCGGGUGUGAAAGUCCGGGGCUUAACCCCGGGUCUGCAUUCGAUACGGGCUGGCUAGAGUGUGGUAGGGGAGAUCGGAAUUCCUGGUGUAGCGGUGAAAUGCGCAGAUAUCAGGAGGAACACCGGUGGCGAAGGCGGAUCUCUGGGCCAUUACUGACGCUGAGGAGCGAAAGCGUGGGGAGCGAACAGG
rnacentral:rRNA from 1 species